AAAGUGGGGGGAAACUAUUCUGCACCCCGUGCAACUGUGUGUUGGAGCAUAAGUCUUAGAGAAAAUAGACGGUGACAACCCACUUUGAUUCAAUCAAACAUUCAGAAAAGC